rnacentral:rRNA from 1 species
GAUGAACGCUAGCGGCAGGCCUAACACAUGCAAGUCGAGGGGGAGGUUACUUUCGGGUAACUGAGACCGGCGUACGGGUGCGUAACGCGUAUACAAUCUGCCUUUCACUGGGGGAUAGCCCGAAGAAAUUUGGAUUAAUACCCCAUAGUAUAGUAAUACGGCAUCGUGAUACUAUUAAAGCUUAGGUGGUGAAAGAUGAGUAUGCGUUCUAUUAGCUAGUUGGAGAGGUAACGGCUCCCCAAGGCGAUGAUAGAUAGGGGUUCUGAGAGGGAUGUCCCCCACACUGGUACUGAGAUACGGACCAGACUCCUACGGGAGGCAGCAGUGAGGAAUAUUGGACAAUGGUCGGAAGACUGAUCCAGCCAUGCCGCGUGCAGGAUGACGGCCUUAUGGGUUGUAAACUGCUUUUGUAAGGGAAGAAUAAGGACUACGUGUAGUUUGAUGACGGUACCUUAUGAAUAAGCAUCGGCUAACUCCGUGCCAGCAGCCGCGGUAAUACGGAGGAUGCGAGCGUUAUCCGGAAUCAUUGGGUUUAAAGGGUCUGUAGGCGGGCUGGUAAGUCAGAGGUGAAAGCGCUUAGCUCAACUAAGCAACUGCCUUUGAAACUGUUGGUCUUGAAUGGUUGUGAAGUAGUUGGAAUGUGUAGUGUAGCGGUGAAAUGCUUAGAUAUUACACAGAACACCGAUAGCGAAGGCAUAUUACUAACAAUUAAUUGACGCUGAUGGACGAAAGCGUGGGGAGCGAACAGG